ACGAACGCUGGCGGCAUGCCUAAUACAUGCAAGUCGAGCGAACAGAUGAAGUGUUUGCACUUCUGACGUUAGCGGCGAACGGGUGAGUAACACGUAAGGAAUCUACCUAUAAGCGGGGGAUAACAUUCGGAAACGGGUGCUAAUACCGCAUAAUAUCUUCUUCCGCAUGGAAGGAGAUUGAAAGACGGCUCUGCUGUCACUUAUAGAUGACCUUGCGGUGCAUUAGUUAGUUGGUGGGGUAAUGGCCUACCAAGACGAUGAUGCAUAGCCGACCUGAGAGGUGAUCGGCCACAUUGGGACUGAGACACGGCCCAAACUCCUACGGGAGGCAGCAGUAGGGAAUCUUCCGCAAUGGGCGAAAGCCUGACGGAGCAAUGCCGCGUGAGUGAAGAAGGCCUUCGGGUCGUAAAACUCUGUUAUAAGAGAAGAACAAAUUGUAGAGUAACUGCUACAGUCUUGACGGUAUCUUAUCAGAAAGCCACGGCUAACUACGUG
rnacentral:rRNA from 1 species